rnacentral:lncRNA from 1 species
CGUGCCCUCUUUAGCAGCCUCUUCUCCCAAACUAGGAGGAACAAUGCUGCUCAAGUCUAAGUACAGAUAUAAUUUUUCGACCACAUCUCGGCUGUCCUCAUAUCCGACACAGUAGGAGACGAAUCCACCCUCGAGAAUCUCAUCCUUAAAUUCUUUCGAAUCUUUGAAGUUCUCGAUAGCUAGACUCAAGGCACCUCUCGCCGACUCAGCUUCAGCCUUCACAGAGGCCAACUCAACAUCGGCUAGUGCCAGUCUUUCCAU